ACCUCCGCGCCGGGACGCGCUAGGUACCUGGAAAGGGUGAGGCGGGCGAGGGGCACGGCACGCCCCACGGGCCAACGCCCCGACGUCGACCCCCAACCGCCGCGUCCCCCCACCGGGACCGCGGCCGCACGCGGGCCUCGGCGCCGCCGGCCCGUGACCGCAGGGGGUGCCCCGCCGCGCGCCGGCCGACCGCCGGCCCCGGAGGGCCCCGCCGACGCCAGACGACCACCCCCCCGCCGUCCCCCCCCCGAGACGCGGGGCAGAGCCCGCCCCCGCCCCUCCAACCCUCACACACCCGGUGCGGCCGGCCCCGCCGGACCCCGUCCUCUCGCCCCAGCCCAUCCGCUGGGGGGACCCCUACCCGAACCCGCGUUCCCGGGCACCCUCCCCCCCCCCACACACCACCACCGAGGGCGGAGGGAAGGGGCUCCGACGGGGAGCUGGGCGCCAAGCGGGCAGGGGACACGCGUCAGAGGUACGGGAGAGGCGAAAACAGGGCGGGAGAACCGGACAGACGGCCGCGGGAGGCGUGGGGGGUGGGGGACGGGGCGGGAGAAAGCCCCGAGGCUCGGAAGGCGUGGGGAGGCGAGGCGCCUGGCGACCGGCGCGGCAGGCCCAGAGCGGCAGACGGACGGCCGGCCGGCGACCGGCCGAGGCAGACCGGCCCAGGGCCGGCGACGGGAGGCGGCGGGGCAAGGCAAGCGGCCCCGCGACGGGGAGCCGCCGCCCGCCACGCCGCACAGCCCGCCAGACGCGACCGGAGGAUCCGCGCCGCGCGGAUCCGCGGCCUUUGUGGGGGGAGGCAGUCGUGGCCGGCGCCACGGGGCGAAAGGCGCGUGGGGUGGGGUGGGGGCGUGGGGAGCUUGCGGAGCCAACCCCCUCACCACCCCACCCCCGAACCCUCGGGGCCAACCUCGAGGGACGUGGCGGGGAGGGCCGGGCUAUCGGGAAGAGGGGACGCACGCCGGAGGGCGACGCCACCGGGCGACGGGGCAGGGUGGCGGGGCGCCCCCGGCCGGGUGGGGGGGGAACGGAGGCGCGGAGGGGCCGGCGGCGGGAGGAGGGGCGCGGGCGGGCAAGCAGGCGGAGGAGAACCCGCCUCUUCCCACCCGAUAUCCCCACAACUCUGCCACGCCGCCCCCCCACCUCUCUCGCGCGGCUCCUCGCCCCCCAGACACACCGGGGAGUAGCCCCCGACCGGCCCCCGGCCGCCCGUGGGGGGCGGGGCGCCCUCCGGACGCGUCUCGCUCUCCCCCUCUCCCCUCCUCCCGGUCCCAUCCCGCGCCGCACGGGCGGAGGAGAGGCUCGCGAGCCGGGCGCGGGGCGGGGCGAGGCCCCCGCGCCGCUCUCGGAACCGACCGCGUUAAUGAUCCUUCCGCAGGUUCACCUACGGAAACCUUGUUACGACUUUUACUUCCUCUAGAUAGUCAAGUUCGACCGUCUUCUCAGCGCUCCGCCAGGGCCGUGGGCCGACCCCGGCGGGGCCGAUCCGAGGGCCUCACUAAACCAUCCAAUCGGUAG
rnacentral:lncRNA from 1 species